CCACCCAAAGAGCUGGGAUUAUGGCCACCAUGCCCUGCCGCAAUAGGUUAAGUGAGGAAAAGACAUAUUAAACAUACAGUAAGAUCUCAGUCAUGUUUUAAAAUAAUAGUAUGUUUUAUGAGUACCUUUAUGACAAGGACCAGGACUGUUUACAUGUACUAAUGCACUUCAUAGUCACAAUAAUCCUAUGAGUUAACACUAUUAUUGCCCUGAUUUUAUGGAGGAAGAAACGGAGACAAGAGAUCAGUGAUGGAGCCAAGACUUCAACUCAAGUUGACUCUAGAGUCCCAGAUCUUAAUCACCAGCACAAUGUACAGAAAUUAAUCAAACUCUUUAAACACAGUGGAGUUGAGUAUACUGUCUAUUUUAAUUCUCUAUUUUGUCAUAGAUUUUCUACUACUUUACUUCUCAAACAAUGAUUUUUAAAAGGAUCAAUAAUCACAAGACAGCAACAGUGUCCCUGAAAUUCCCCUAGAGAUGCUAACUACAAAAUAAAACUUAAAUAAUCCAAUAUCUUUAAAUAUUUUAGUAUAAGAAAUUUUUCUAAAUGAAUUUUAUGUGAAUCUAUAACAUAUGAAACAGAUUAGUUUCUGUCCAAGUUGCUCGCUUCCCUGGGCCAAAGUAAGCAGUAACCAACAUGUCAGGGUGGGAGUCCUAUUACAAAACCGAGGACAAUGAAGAAGCAGAAGGACAAGAAGAGAAGAACCUUAAAGCAAGUGGAGACUACAAAUAUUCAGGAAGAGAUAGUUUGAUUUUUUUGGUUGAUGCCUCCAGGGCUAUGUUUUAAUCUCAAAGUGAAGAUGAGUUGACUCCUUUUGACAUGAGCAUCCAGUGUACCCAAAGUGUGUACAUCAGUAAGAUCAUAAGCAGUGAUCGAGAUCUCUUGGCAGUGGUGUUCUAUGGUACCGAGAAAGACAAAAAUUCAGUGAAUUUUAAAAAUAUUUAUGUCUUACAGGAGUUGGAUAAUGCAGGUGCAAAACAAAUUCUAGAGCUUGACCAGUUUAAGGGGCAGCAGGGACAGAAACGUUUCCAAGAGCUGAUGGGCCAUGGAUCUGACUACUCACUCAGUGAAGUGCUGUGGGUCUCUGCCAACCUCUUUAGUGAUGUCCAGUUCAAGAUGAGUCAUAAGAGGAUCAUGCUUUUCACCAAUGAAGACAACCCCCAUGGCAAUGACAGUGUCAAAGCCAGCCGGGCCAGGACCAAAGCCGGUGUUCUCCGAGAUACAGGCAUCUUCGUUGACUUGAUGCACCUGAAGAAACCUGGGGGCUUUGACAUAUCCUUGUUCUACAGAGAUAUUAUCAGCAUAGCAGAGGAUGAGGACCUCAGGGUUCACUUUGAGGAAUCCAGCAAGCUAGAAGACCUGUUGCAGAAGGUUCGUGCCAAGGAUACCAGGAAGUGAGCACUUAGCAGGUUAAAGCUGAAGCUCAACAAAGAUAUACUGAUCUCUGUUGGCAUUUAUAAUCUGGUCCAGAAGGCUCUCAAGCCUCCUCCAAUAAAGCUCUAUCAGGAAACAAAUGAACCAGUGAAAACCAAGACCCGGACAUUUAAUACAAGUACAGGCGGUUUGCUUCUGCCUAGCGAUACCAAGAGGUCGCAGAUCUAUGGGAAUCGUCAGAUUAUACUGGAGAAAGAGGAAACAGAAGAACUAAAACGAUUUGAUGAUGCAGGUUUGAUGCUCAUGGGCUUCAAGCCCUUGGUAAUGCUGAAGAAGCACCAUUACCUGAGACCCUCCCUGUUCGUGUACCCAGAGGAGUCUCUGGUGAUUGGGAGCUCAACCGGGUUCAGUGCUCUGCUCAUCAAGUGUCUGGAGAAGGAGGUCGCAGCAUUGUGCAGAUACACACCCUGGAAGAACAUCCCCCCUUAUUUUGUGGCUUUGGUGCCACAGGAUGAGGAGUUGGAUGACCAGAAAAUUCAGGUCACUUCUCCAGGCUUUCAGCUGGUCUUUUUGUCAUUUGCUGAUGAUAAAAGGAAGAUGCCCUUUACUGAAAAAAUCAUGGCAACUCCAGAGCAGGUGGACAAGAUGAAGGCUAUUGUUGAGAAGCUCCGCUUCACAUACAGAAGUGACAGCUUUGAGAACCCGGUGCUGCAGCGGCACUUCAGGAACCUGGAGGCCUUGGCCUUGGAUUUGAUGGAGCCUGAACAAGCAGUGGACCUGACAUUGCCCAAGGUUGAAGCAAUGAAUAAAAGACUGGGUUCCCUGGUGGAUGAAUUUAAGGAGCUGGUUUACCCACCAGAUUACAACCCUGAAGGGAAAGUUACCAAGAGAAAACACGAUAAUGACGGUUCCGGAAGCAAAAGGCCCAAGGGGGAGUAUUCAGAAGAAGAGCUGAAGACCCACAUCAGCAAGGGCACACUGGGCAAGUUCACUGUGCCCAUGCUGAAAGAGGCUUGCCGGGCAUAUGGGCUGAAGAGUGGGCUGAAGAAGCAGGAGAUGCUGGAGGCCCUCACCAAGCACUUCCAGGACUGGCCAGAGGCCGCGCACCCAGCCAUCCUUCCACAGUGUGGCCAGGCUGCAUGGCCUUGUUCUCAGCCAGUUAAAAAUGUGUUUCUCCUAAGCUAGAAAGAGUCUACCUGACAGAAGUCGAGGGACUUUAUGUUUCUGAGGCUUUCUGUUGCCAUGGUGAUGGUGUAGCCCUCCCACUUUGCUGUUCCUUACUUUACUGCCUGAAUAAAGAGCCCUAAGUUUGUACUAGAAAAAAAAAA